UGGCCCCUUUUGGCACUAGCACAUUUUUGCUUUGGUUUGUAGCUUGGGAGCAAUUAUGUGUAGUGCCAAGAUGGGAGA
rfam:Chaetura pelagica isolate M959 contig2373, whole genome shotgun sequence.